rnacentral:rRNA from 1 species
GCCUAUCAUGCAGUCGAGCGAACAGAUAAGGAGCUUGCUCCUUUGACGUUAGCGGCGGACGGGUGAGUAACACGUGGGUAACCUACCUAUAAGACUGGGAUAACUUCGGGAAACCGGAGCUAAUACCGGAUAACAUUUGGAACCGCAUGGUUCUAAAGUGAAAGAUGGUUUUGCUAUCACUUAUAGAUGGACCCGCGCCGUAUUAGCUAGUUGGUAAGGUAACGGCUUACCAAGGCGACGAUACGUAGCCGACCUGAGAGGGUGAUCGGCCACACUGGAACUGAGACACGGUCCAGACUCCUACGGGAGGCAGCAGUAGGGAAUCUUCCGCAAUGGGCGAAAGCCUGACGGAGCAACGCCGCGUGAGUGAUGAAGGGUUUCGGCUCGUAAAACUCUGUUAUUAGGGAAGAACAAAUGUGUAAGUAACUGUGCACGUCUUGACGGUACCUAAUCAGAAAGCCACGGCUAACUACGUGCCAGCAGCCGCGGUAAUACGUAGGUGGCAAGCGUUAUCCGGAAUUAUUGGGCGUAAAGCGCGCGUAGGCGGUUUCUUAAGUCUGAUGUGAAAGCCCACGGCUCAACCGUGGAGGGUCAUUGGAAACUGGGAAACUUGAGUGCAGAAGAGGAAAGUGGAAUUCCAUGUGUAGCGGUGAAAUGCGCAGAGAUAUGGAGGAACACCAGUGGCGAAGGCGACUUUCUGGUCUGUAACUGACGCUGAUGUGCGAAAGCGUGGGGAUCAAACAGGAUUAGAUACCCUGGUAGUCCACGCCGUAAACGAUGAGUGCUAAGUGUUAGGGGGUUUCCGCCCCUUAGUGCUGCAGCUAACGCAUUAAGCACUCCGCCUGGGGAGUACGACCGCAAGGUUGAAACUCAAAGGAAUUGACGGGGAACCCGCACAAGCGGUGGAGCAUGUGGUUUAAUCGAAGCAACGCGAAGAACCUUACCAAUCUUGACAUCCUUUGAAAACUCUAGAGAUAGAGCCUUCCCCUUCGGGGGACAAAGUGACAGGUGGUGCAUGGUUGUCGUCAGCUCGUGUCG